UGUGUAGGCGGUUCUCUAAGUUCGGUGUGAAAUCUCCCGGCUUAACUGGGAGGGUGCGCCGGAAACUGGAGGGCUUGAGUAUGGGAGAGGAAAGCGGAAUUCCUGGUGUAGCGGUGAAAUGCGUAGAUAUCAGGAGGAACACCUGCGGUGUAGACGGCUUUCUGGACCAUCACUGACGCUGAGACACGAAAGCGUGGGUAGCAAACAGGAUUAGAUACCCUGGUAGUCCACGCCCUAAACGAUGCAUACUUGGUGUGAGCCGUUCAUUCGGUUCGUGCCGGAGCUAACGCGUUAAGUAUGCCGCCUGGGGAGUACGGUCGCAAGGCUGAA
rnacentral:rRNA from 1 species